UAAACUACGAUUAGAUACCCUAUUAUUUUAAACGUAAAUAUAAAAGGCUUGGGUAGUAUUAGAUAUGAUCUUGAAACUCAAAGAAUUUGGCGGUGUUUUAGUCCUUUCAGAGGAACCUGUCCCGUAAUCGAUAGCCCACGUUUAACCUUACUUAAUCUGGUUUUCAGCUUGUAUACCGCCGUCGUCAGAAUGUCCUGAGAGGGUUAGAAUUUUCUUAAUUUUUUAUUAGAAUUGAUGUCAGGUCAAGGUGCAGUUUAUGAUUAAGUGGAGAUGGGUUACAAUAAAUUUAUUUAUACGGAAGACUAAUGGAAGUAUUGGUUUGAAGGUGGAUUUGAUUGUAAUGAUUUUGAUUAAGUUAAUUUGAUUUUGGCUCUAAAACAUGCACACAUCGCCCGUCGCUCUUA
rnacentral:rRNA from 1 species